UCGACCGGCGCACGGGUGCGUAACGCGUAUGCAACCUACCUUUAACAGGGGAGUAACACUGAGAAAUUGGUACUAAUACCCCAUAAUAUCAUAGAAGGCAUCUUUUAUGGUUGAAAAUUCCGAUGGUUAGAGAUGGGCAUGCGUUGUAUUAGCUAGUUGGUGGGGUAACGGCUCACCAAGGCGACGAUACAUAGGGGGACUGAGAGGUUAACCCCCCACACUGGUACUGAGACACGGACCAG
rnacentral:rRNA from 1 species